ACGCUGGCGGCAGGCCUAACACAUGCAAGUCGAGCGGUAGCACAGGAGAGCUUGCUCUCUGGGUGACGAGCGGCGGACGGGUGAGUAAUGUCUGGGAAACUGCCUGAUGGAGGGGGAUAACUACUGGAAACGGUAGCUAAUACCGCAUGACCUCGCAAGAGCAAAGUGGGGGACCUUCGGGCCUCACGCCAUCGGAUGUGCCCAGAUGGGAUUAGCUAGUAGGUGGGGUAAUGGCUCACCUAGGCGACGAUCCCUAGCUGGUCUGAGAGGAUGACCAGCCACACUGGAACUGAGACACGGUCCAGACUCCUACGGGAGGCAGCAGUGGGGAAUAUUGCACAAUGGGCGCAAGCCUGAUGCAGCCAUGCCGCGUGUGUGAAGAAGGCCUUAGGGUUGUAAAGCACUUUCAGCGAGGAGGAAGGGUUCAGUGUUAAUAGCACUGAGCAUUGACGUUACUCGCAGAAGAAGCACCGGCUAACUCCGUGCCAGCAGCCGCGGUAAUACGGAGGGUGCAAGCGUUAAUCGGAAUUACUGGGCGUAAAGCGCACGCAGGCGGUUUGUUAAGUCAGAUGUGAAAUCCCCGAGCUUAACUUGGGAACUGCAUUUGAAACUGGCAAGCUAGAGUCUUGUAGAGGGGGGUAGAAUUCCAGGUGUAGCGGUGAAAUGCGUAGAGAUCUGGAGGAAUACCGGUGGCGAAGGCGGCCCCCUGGACAAAGACUGACGCUCAGGUGCGAAAGCGUGGGGAGCAAAC
rnacentral:rRNA from 1 species